GACACUUCCUGGUAUUCUGGCAAUCCCUCUUUCUCUAUCUUCCCUGAGGGAUAGAUGCAGUAACUCUCAUGUAGGUCUGUCCAUGGGGGCUGGAUUCUCCAUUAGUUAUUGAUCUCUGCAUAGUGUCCAGUUGUAGUUUUCUAUGCUGGUCUCCAUUUUCUGUAGAGAGGCUUCUUGGAUGAGUGGUGGUAGCCACAUGUAUCUGUGGGCACAAAAGGAAGUUUUAGAAUGAGGUAAGGAGUUAUGCUGCUCUAACAAAGUGCUGAGAGGAGGUAUUUAUCAUCGAAGGGCCAUGACCUCACAAGCCCUGGGAAGCUGGCUAGGUUUCCAGCAUUACACAGUGAAUCUGUCUCUCUUGUUAAGUCCAAUUAGACAGCUCUUGAUUACCACCAACAUGUGAGUGCCACUUACUGUCACUUUAUGGAUGUUUUACCUUACUGACCAUUGUGGUAGUUGCUAGGUUUUGCAGUUGGGUAGGACUAGUAGGCUCUCUUGGCAGGUUUCAUAGUAUUCUAGGCCUAUGAAGGAUAGACUACAGGAAAGUAGACUUCAGUUAGAUCCAGAUUGAAUCACCAGGGUCCUGUGUCUUAAGUGUGCAAUAUCUUCAGGAAUAGUGGCCCAGCCUUGACCCCUGAGAGGCAGAUAAGGGCUACGUUGAUAAUCUCUGUUGUUUCAGGAGUCACUUGGACUCCCCCAAGCACCCAUUUGAAAGGAAUUUUCUUUUUUUACUGGGGGUUUUUGUUCACCUAGGCUCUUGUGGGAAGCGUUGCUAACCAAAAUAUAUAUGCAAUUCAUAUAUGUAUUGUGGGUAAUUUUAAGUAAAGAUAAAAAUAUGGCUGUUACCUUUGUCUCUCAUCCCCUCUUCUCUUUUCUAGUGGCCUCCCUCCCUCAGCCGAAGCACCUGCACGGAAACAGAACCAUAAUCCCUUCCCUACUGAACUUCCCAAUCAAGACAGUUGUACAAUGUGGAACUGCGUGACUCUGGAAGGUGUGGCCUACAGGUUUGCUCAGCUGGGUUUGAGAAAGUCAUCCAUCAUAGAAGUGACUUGAGGGAGCUUGGAAGUUGGCCUUUUCCAGAUAGCCACCUGAUUCCUUGAUGCGUCCCUGUGAGAGUCUGUGCCGAGGAGCCAAUCACAAGCAGACCGGGAAUUUCACCCCUAGCAAAGGUGAGAUAGUAAAUUAUGUUGGUUUAUGCUGAACUGUGUGUGGUAGCACCACACAGAGCAAUA
rnacentral:lncRNA from 1 species